GCCUACCCCUGGUUUAGUGGUUUGAGCAUGGGACUGUGACUCUGGUGACCAGGGUUUGAAUCCCUAGUUGGCC